rnacentral:rRNA from 1 species
UACAGAGGUCUCAAGCGUUGUUCGGAUUCAUUGGGCGUAAAGGGUGUGUAGGUGGCGCCGUAAGUCGGGUGUGAAAUUUCGGAGCUUAACUCCGAAACUGCAUUCGAUACUGCGGUGCUUGAGGACUGGAGAGGAGACUGGAAUUCAUGGUGUAGCAGUGAAAUGCGUAGAGAUCAUGAGGAAGACCAGUGGCGAAGGCGGGUCUCUGGACAGUUCCUGACACUGAGGCACGAAGGCCAGGGGGAGCAAACGGG